rnacentral:lncRNA from 1 species
AUUUUUUUAGAGAUUUCUAUUUAUAGUAUUUCUUUGAGAUUAUUGUGAUUUCUUUAAAGAUUUAUUUUUAUAUUUCUUUAAGAUUUCUUAUUAUUUUUCUUUUGAAUUAGUUUGGAACUUCUUUGUGUUUCUUUUAUAACUUCUUUUAAAUUUAUUUUUGAUUGGUCAAAGUUUGAUCAAGUUUAUUAAGAUCUAUUUAGGAUUAUUUAAGAUU